rnacentral:rRNA from 1 species
GAUGAACGCUGGCGGCGUGCCUAAUACAUGCAAGUCGAGCGAACAGACGAGGAGCUUGCUCCUCUGACGUUAGCGGCGGACGGGUGAGUAACACGUGGAUAACCUACCUAUAAGACUGGGAUAACUUCGGGAAACCGGAGCUAAUACCGGAUAAUAUUUUGAACCGCAUGGUUCAAUAGUGAAAGACGGUUUUGCUGUCACUUAUAGAUGGAUCCGCGCCGCAUUAGCUAGUUGGUAAGGUAACGGCUUACCAAGGCAACGAUGCGUAGCCGACCUGAGAGGGUGAUCGGCCACACUGGAACUGAGACACGGUCCAGACUCCUACGGGAGGCAGCAGUAGGGAAUCUUCCGCAAUGGGCGAAAGCCUGACGGAGCAACGCCGCGUGAGUGAUGAAGGUCUUCGGAUCGUAAAACUUUGUUAUUAGGGAAGAACAAAUGUGUAAGUAACUAUGCACGUCUUGACGGUACCUAAUCAGAAAGCCACGGCUAACUACGUG